UCCGUAGGUGAACCUGCGGAGGGAUCAUUGACU
rnacentral:rRNA from 1 species